AGCACUUGCAUCUGUUUUUGUCCAACUUGUGGAGCAGAGCUUAUGGACAGGCUUAUGCAAAAGUUAAAGCCUCUUUUGCAAGCCAGAGCUUAUUAUUCAGUAUGAGUUUUGAUACAGAGAAGCAGGAAUGCU
ensembl:snoRNA small nucleolar RNA SNORA40